GGUACAGGGUGAUAGUCCCGUACACAAAAACACACUGGCUGUGAACUCGAUGAGUAGGGCGGGACACGUGACAUCCUGUCUGAAUAUGGGGGGACCAUCCUCCAAGGCUAAAUACUCCUGACUGACCGAUAGUGAACCAGUACCGUGAGGGAAAGGCGAAAAGAACCCCGGCGAGGGGAGUGAAAUAGAACCUGAAACCGUGUACGUACAAGCAGUGGGAGCACCUUCGUGGUGUGACUGCGUACCUUUUGUAUAAUGGGUCAGCGACUUAUAUUUUGUAGCAAGGUUAACCGAAUAGGGGAGCCGUAGGGAAACCGAGUCUUAACUGGGCGUCUAGUUGCAAGGUAUAGACCCGAAACCCGGUGAUCUAGCCAUGGGCAGGUUGAAGGUUGGGUAACACUAACUGGAGGACCGAACCGACUAAUGUUGAAAAAUUAGCGGAUGACUUGUGGCUGGGGGUGAAAGGCCAAUCAAACCGGGAGAUAGCUGGUUCUCCCCGAAAGCUAUUUAGGUAGCGCCUCGUGAACUCAUCUUCGGGGGUAGAGCACUGUUUCGGCUAGGGGUCCAUCCCGGAUUACCAAACCGAUGCAAACUCCGAAUACCGAAGAAUGUUAUCACGGGAGACACACGGCGGGUGCUAACGUCCGUCGUGAAGAGGGAAACAACCCAGACCGCCAGCUAAGGUCCCAAAGUCAUGGUUAAGUGGGAAACGAUGUGGGAAGGCAUAGACAGCCAGGAUGUUGGCUUAGAAGCAGCCAUCAUUUAAAGAAAGCGUAAUAGCUCACUGGUCGAGUCGGCCUGCGCGGAAGAUGUAACGGGGCUAAACCAUGCACCGAAGCUGCGGCAGCGACGCUUAGGCGUUGUUGGGUAGGGGAGCGUUCUGUAAGCCGUUGAAGGUGGCCUGUGAGGGCUGCUGGAGGUAUCAGAAGUGCGAAUGCUGACAUAAGUAACGAUAAUGCGGGUGAAAAACCCGCACGCCGGAAGACCAAGGGUUCCUGUCCAACGUUAAUCGGGGCAGGGUGAGUCGACCCCUAAGGCGAGGCUGAAAAGCGUAGUCGAUGGGAAACAGGUUAAUAUUCCUGUACUGGGUGUGACUGCGAAGGGGGGACGGAGAAGGCUAGGCUAGCCGGGCGACGGUUGUCCCGGUUUAAGCAUGUAGGCGGAGCGACUUGGUAAAUCCGGUUGCUUAUCAACGCUGAGGUGUGAUGACGAGCCACUACGGUGGUGAAGUAGUUGAUGCCAAGCUUCCAGGAAAAGCCUCUAAGCAUCAGGUGACAUUCAAUCGUACCCCAAACCGACACAGGUGGUCAGGUAGAGAAUACUCAGGCGCUUGAGAGAACUCGGGUGAAGGAACUAGGCAAAAUGGUGCCGUAACUUCGGGAGAAGGCACGCUGGCAUUAGGUAAAGAGACUUGCUCUCGGCGCCGAAGCCAGUCGCAGAUACCAGCUGGCUGCAACUGUUUAAUAAAAACACAGCAC
rnacentral:rRNA from 1 species